UCAAUGCUCGAAAGAGUGAACUAGCUAACUGAAAUCACUUGAGAAGUGAUAAUGUAAGGGAAAAUAAUGAUACUACCUUACUAUAAGUGUUGUCAAAAUCUGGUGCCAGAAGACUCGGUAAGGCCAGAAACGCGAACGUUAGUCAUCUUAAACAGGCGUAAAGGGUUUGUAGGCAGCUUUGAAAUCUUGAUUUUUAAAAAAUAGCAACUUUAAAAAGAUGGAAAUUAGAAGAUAGAAUCAAAUAUAGGAAAAUUCGAAUAAAGUCUAGAGGAGGGUUAAAAUUCUAAGAUACUAGAUUGAAUGCUCAAGGCGAAGGCCUUUUUCCAUGAAUGAUUGACGCUCAGAAACGAAGGAUAGGAUAGGAAACAGGAUUAGAUACCCUGGUACCCCUUUCAGUCAACGAUGAAUGGUAGUCACUAAUGAAAUUAUUGUGUCAAUGUUAACACGUUAACCAUUCCGCCUUGUGAGUACGAUUGCAAAAUUGAAAACAAAAAAAUUAGUCGG
rnacentral:rRNA from 1 species